rnacentral:rRNA from 1 species
UACGAAGGGGCUAGCGUUGCUCGGAAUCACUGGGCGUAAAGGGUGCGUAGGCGGGUUUCUAAGUCAGAGGUGAAAUCCUGGAGCUCAACUCCAGAACUGCCUUUGAUACUGGAAGUCUUGAGUAUGGGAGAGGUGAGUGGAACUGCGAGUGUAGAGGUGAAAUUCGUAGAUAUUCGCAAGAACACCAGUGGCGAAGGCGGUUCACUGGCCCAUUACUGACGCUGAGGCACGAAAGCGUGGGGAGCAAACAGG